UUUCCGCUAGAUGGCGGUGCCAGUGUCAAAACUGAUUUUACCAAACAGCUCGUCUGCUUGAGAAAAGAGAAUAGUUAAUCUGCUUUAGGAUUCGCGUUGACGAAAGCACGUAAGUGAGAAUUAUUAAAAGGAAAUUAGAUUUUUUAAAUUUAAAUGGCAGUAAGGAAGCAAAAUAAAUGUUUCUUUCAAUUCUAGCGAUUUGACAAGGUACAAGUCAAGUGUUUUACCAUUCUGAUCUUCUGAUUCCACAUUCUGCAGGUCUUGUCUUUAUUGUCUAAUGUUUAAAAAUGUUGGUAGUGAAACAAAACUUUGUUGUGGCUUUAUGAGAAACCAAGAUCCCUUUCUCAAUUGGAAAGAGACUUCACUGGACAGAUUGAUAAUUGUAGGGAAUUGAAAGAGAUUGUGCUCAUAAAAUGUUUGAACCUUUUCCUUGCAAAAACUCUUCAUCAGGCUCUCAUAAUUAUCAUAGUUAUCUACCUUAUGACAACCAAUUGAGGCACUGUGGUGGUUGACAGCAGCUGAUUGUAUUUGAAGUCUGUGAAAAGAAAAUCAAUACAAGCACUAUGAAACAACAAA